rnacentral:rRNA from 1 species
CGGAUAAAAGGUACCCCGGGGAUAACAGGCUGAUCUUCCCCAAGAGUCCAUAUCGACGGGAUGGUUUUGGCACCUCGAUGUCGGCUCGUCGCAUCCUGGGGCUGGAGUAGGUCCCAAGGGUUGGGCUGUUCGCCCAUUUAAAGCGGCACGCGAGCUGGGUUUUAGAACGUCGUGAGACAGUUCGGUCUCUAUCCGCGCGCGCGUUGAAACUUGAAGAAGGCUGUCCCUAGUACGAGAGGACCGGGACGGACGUACCUCUAGUGUGCCAGUUGUCACGCCAGUGGCAGGGCUGGU